GGGUAAGAGGCUAGGCUGUAGGUAAAUUACUAUUUGGUCUUCUUUGAGCCAGUAAGUUAACACCACAGAAAAGCCUAGCUUGGCAUUUCCUGACUUGGAAGUGCUUUAAUUCGCUCCUUUCGGCAAAAUAUACCCAUGGGCUUUGCUCUGGGUUGGCCCUUUGUGAGGCAGAUGUGUGAUUCAAUGGGCUUUGACAGCGCUGCCUAGCCAAAAAAUAUCUUGCCAGGCCCAACAUUCCCACUCUGAAAUUUUUUUCUACUGGUUAACACAUUAUUUCCAGAAAGCUCUGUCAAAAUGUAGAUGCAUUACUGGAGAAAUAUGACACACGAGACAAACAGCAGAGAAAAAUGCAGUAAGCUCUAUACCCAACAUGGAGCUCAAACUCACGACCCGGAGAUUCAUUCUUAUUGGACCUGCUCACAUAGAUGGCCCACUCUUGAAGCAGUCACCCUGAAGUCAUCUCUGAAGCCAGCUCUGAUUGGUAGGCCUGGGUCAUGUGCUUCAUUUUAAGGCUGAGGACAGAGCCCCAUUCACACCAUCUGGAUGCAAGUUGGGUGGGGAGGGAAUAUUCCAGUGAAAACCAGCGGUAGGGCUUGAAGAGGAGGAGUACAAACUGGGCAAGGCAAAGAGUAAAUGUGUACCAAAGAAAAAUUAUCUCAUCCAUUUUCACAAAUGCCUUCUGAGGCACAGAGAGAGUAAAUAAAUUGUCCUAGGUCACAUGGUUAAUGAGUAGU
rnacentral:lncRNA from 1 species